GUUAGUUUCAGCAGGAUUUAGAUUUAGAGAAGGUCUCUAAUGGUGGAUAUCUGCUUUAUAUUACUUUCCUCCGUCUGGAGCUCCAGCUGAAGAACCUUUCUGAUCACAUCAGAUCACAGUUUGAUUUAAAGUCAGCUUCUUCAUCACUCUGAAGAGGAGAUCUCAACACUUCAGGAGGACCAGGAGACCUGGAGAUGGGGGCUAGAGGGUCAACACCACCAACACCACCAUCGACUUUUAUCGACUUUUUUCGACAUACUAUAAUAUGACUUUUUUAGACUUUUUUCGACAUAAUAUACUAUGGCUUUUUAUGACAUACUAUACUAUGACUUUUAAAAACUUUUUUCUACAUAUAGGCCAGUGGUGGCCUAAAGGUUAAAGAAGAAGUUUUGUUAGCGGGAGGUUGCUGGUUCAAUCCCCAGACCGACAGGAUCAGGAUCUGGGAGGUCUUAGUUUUUCCUCCAGAGCUGAGAGAGACUUUCAUCUUUCAGUCGCCCCACUCAGGUUGUUGGAGCUGUUUUUAAACUUCCUGCAGCUUCUUCCUCUCUCUGGUUCAUCGUGUCAGUCAGCAGAGGAGACGGUCCCGAGGAGAAGGGCGCCGGCUGCCACCGUAGACACCGCUGGUUCGAUCCCAGCCAGAGGAUCACAUGGUGCAGAGAACCCUGACCACAAAGAAGAUU